UACGGGAGGCAGCAGUGGGGAAUCUUCCGCAAUGGGCGAAAGCCUGACGGAGCAACGCCGCGUGAGUGAAGGAGGGUUUAGGCUCGUAAAGCUCUGUUGCAGGGGACGAAGGCCUUGGAGGUGAAUAAUCUCUGAGGAUGACGGUACCCUGCGAGGAAGCCACGGCUAACUACGUGCCAGCAGCCGCGGUAAU
rnacentral:rRNA from 1 species